rnacentral:rRNA from 1 species
UGGGGAAUAUUGCACAAUGGGCGAAAGCCUGAUGCAGCGACGCCGCGUGAGGGAUGACGGCCUUCGGGUUGUAAACCUCUUUCAGCAGGGACGAAGCGCAAGUGACGGUACCUGCAGAAGAAGCACCGGCUAACUACGUGCCAGCAGCCGCGGUAAUACGUAGGGUGCAAGCGUUGUCCGGAAUUACUGGGCGUAAAGAGUUCAUAGGCGGUUUGUCGCGUCGUUUGUGAAAACCAGCAGCUCAACUGCUGGCUUGCAGGCGAUACGGGCAGACUUGAGUACUGCAGGGGAGACUGGAAUUCCUGGUGUAGCGGUGAAAUGCGCAGAUAUCAGGAGGAACACCGGUGGCGAAGGCGGGUCUCUGGGCAGUAACUGACGCUGAGGAACGAAAGCGUGGGUAGCGAACAGG